AAGUCGUAACAAGGUUUCUGUAGGUGAACCUGCAGAAGGAUCAUUAAUGAGAAUAGAGGGCUGGAUUCUGUAUCCGCCCCCGACCUUUCGAUCCACACACACACCUGUGCACACACAACCAUACCCGCUUUGGCGUGGUAGUCACUUAUUAACACGGUUAUUGAGUGUAAAUACAAAUCCUCCAAAGCGGGGUGAAAGUUAAGUACAACUUUCGGCAAUGGAUCUCUUGGUUCU
rnacentral:misc_RNA from 1 species